UGACUAUACAAAGGUAUUGUAAUAAGAUUUUAAUUGAAUGCUAAAAGAAUGGAAAUUUAAAAAAAAACUUUUUUAAAAAUAAAAAUUGAAUUUUUUUUAAUUUGUGCAAAAACAAUUAUACUUAUUAAAGACAAGAAGACCCUAAGAAUUUAAGAUUUUACAAUUAAAAAGUUUUUUUUUUAAAAAUCUUGAUUGGGGCGAUCAAAAAAUAUUAAUAACUUUUUAAAAUUUAAAUUGAUCUAUUAUUAAUAAACUAAUGAAUUAAAUACUCUAGGGAUAACAGCGUAAUAAUUUUUGAUAGAUCUUAUUGACAAAAUAGUUUGCGACCCCGAUGUUGGAUUAGGAUUCUUUUUUAAUGAAGAAGUUAAAAAAAGAAGUUUGUUCAACUUUUAAAUUCCUACUUGAUCUGA
rnacentral:rRNA from 1 species